rnacentral:rRNA from 1 species
AUGGCGGCCGCCAGGAAGGUGAUCAAGUGCAAAGUGGCGGUGGCAUGGGAGGCCGGGAAGCCUACGAUCGAGGAGGUGGAGGUGGCGCCGCCACAGGCCAUGGGGGUGUGAGUCAAGAUCCUCUACACUGUCCUCUGCCACACUGACGUCUACUUCUGGGAAGCCAAGGGCCAAACUCCGGUUUUCCCUAGGAUCUUAGGCCAUGAAGCUGGAGGCAUUGUUGAGAGCGUUGGAGAGGGCGUUACUGAGCUCAUGCCGGGUGACCAUGUCCUCCCGGUUUUCACCGGCGAGUGCAAGGAGUGUGCCCACUGUAAGUCAGAGGAGAGCAACCUUUCUAACCUCCUCAGGAUCAACGUGGAUUGCCAAUCCCCUUCCAAAACCGCCUCAACCGAACAAGGCCUUAAUGGGAAACCGAUCUUGCACUUCGUUGGGACCUCCACCUUCAGUGAGUACACUGUGAUCCAUGUCGGGUGCCUCGCGAAGAUCAAACCCGAGGCACUCAUUGACAAAGUUUGUGUUCUCAGCUGUGGUAUCUCAACUGGACAUGGUGCUACCCUCAAUGUCGCGAAACCGACAAAGGGUUUGACGGUGGUCAUUUUCGGUCUUGGAGCUGUAAGCCUUGCUGCCAUGGAAGGGGCCAAGAUGGCUGGGGCAUCAAGGAUCAUUGGUGUUGAUUUGAACCCUGCAAAAUAAGAACAAGCUAAGAAAUUUUGAUGCACCGACUUUGUGAACCCAAAGGACCACGUCAAGCCCGUGCAAGAGGUGCUUGUUGAGAUGACCAAUGGCGGAGUCGACCGUGCGGUUCAGUGCACUGGCCACAUCGAUGCCAUGAUCGCCGCCUUCGAAUGUGUCCAUGAUGGGUGGUGCGUGGCGGUGCUGGUGGGCGUCCCGCACAAGGAGGCGGUGUUCAAGACCCAUCCGAUGAACUUCCUCAAUGAAAGGACCCUGAAGGGCACCUUCUUCGGCAACUACAAGCCGCGCACCGACCUCCCGGAAGUCGUCGAGAUGUACACGAGGAAGGAGCUGGAGCUGGAGAAGUUCACCACGCACAGCGUGUCCUUCUCCCAGAUCAACAAGGCGUUCGACCUCAUGCUCAAAGAGGAGGGCCUGCGCUGCGUCAUGAGGAUGGGCGAGUAG